UGGCAUUUGAAGACAAACUUGAAGGAUGUCAAACCAUUUCGAACUACUUUUGAACUAAACUUGUGUAGGUAUUUUUGCCUUAUAUACAUCCUCAGAAGUUUGUUAGCUGAAUGAAUGAAUGAACAAAGUAAGAAUGACAUCAAGCACAGCUUCAACUCUGGCUCUGCCACAUACUAACUGGAUAACCCAAGCGUUUAUUGCACUCUUUGGAGACGACAAAGACAUGUUCCCGGAUCCGCGCCCCCCUCCCCCCCAAAAAAAUAACGCUCCAGUGGAAGAAUCAUCAUGUAAACAGAUCA